UUUCAACUUGAGAGUUUGAUCCUGGCUCAGAACGAACGCUGGCGGCAGGCCUAACACAUGCAAGUCGAGCGCACCUUCGGGUGAGCGGCGGAC
rnacentral:rRNA from 2 species